rnacentral:rRNA from 1 species
UACGUAGGGUGCAAGCGUUGUCCGGAAUUAUUGGGCGUAAAGAGCUCGUAGGCGGUUUGUUGCGUCGGCUGUGAAAUCCCGAGGCUCAACCUCGGGUCUGCAGUCGAUACGAGCAAACUAGAGUGUUGCAGGGGAGACUGGAAUUCCUGGUGUAGCGGUGAAAUGCGCAGAUAUCAGGAGGAACACCGGUGGCGAAGGCGGGUCUCUGGGCAACAACUGACGCUGGAGGAGCGAAAGCCGUGGGGGAGCGAAACAGG